rnacentral:rRNA from 1 species
ACGAACGCUGGCGGCGUGCCUAAUACAUGCAAGUCGAACGCUUCUUUCCUCCCGAGUGCUUGCACUCAAUUGGAAAGAGGAGUGGCGGACGGGUGAGUAACACGUGGGUAACCUACCCAUCAGAGGGGGAUAACACUUGGAAACAGGUGCUAAUACCGCAUAACAGUUUAUGCCGCAUGGCAUAAGAGUGAAAGGCGCUUUCGGGUGUCGUUGAUGGAUGGACCCGCGGUGCAUUAGCUAGUUGGUGAGGUAACGGUUCACCAAGGCCACGAUGCAUAGCCGACCUGAGAGGGUGAUCGGCCACACUGGGACUGAGACACGGCCCAGACUCCUACGGGAGGCAGCAGUAGGGAAUCUUCGGCAAUGGACGAAAGUCUGACCGAGCAACGCCGCGUGAGUGAAGAAGGUUUUCGGAUCGUAAAACUCUGUUGUUAGAGAAGAACAAGGACGUUAGUAACUGAACGUCCCCUGACGGUAUCUAACCAGAAAGCCACGGCUAACUACGUG